ACAAGUGAAGUGGUGGGCGGAGUCCGACUCCCGUAGGAGUCCAGACGAAGUCUGCCUGCAGCUAGAGUAGGGGAUGAGGUCCGGCUCCCGUAGGAGUCCGGACGAAGUCCAGAAGAUGGUCGAUCAUCGUGGAAAUUCGGGUGGAGUUCGUCCAUCACGAAGAAUCCGAUUGACACUGGUGGGGGCUUAUCCGUCCGCAAAACUUGGGAGUGUUGCGGAGGCUCGGCCACCUGGGAGGUUUGAAGAGAUGUCGUUGGAGGUCGGA
rnacentral:lncRNA from 1 species